rnacentral:rRNA from 1 species
AGUGAACGCUGGCGGUAGGCCUAACACAUGCAAGUCGAACGGCAGCACAGUAAGAGCUUGCUCUUACGGGUGGCGAGUGGCGGACGGGUGAGGAAUACAUCGGAAUCUACUUUUUCGUGGGGGAUAACGUAGGGAAACUUACGCUAAUACCGCAUACGACCUACGGGUGAAAGCAGGGGAUCUUCGGACCUUGCGCGAUUGAAUGAGCCGAUGUCGGAUUAGCUAGUUGGCGGGGGAAAGGCCCACCAAGGCGACGAUCCGUAGCUGGUAUGAGAGGAUGAUCAGCCACACUGGAACUGAGACACGGUCCAGACUCCUACGGGAGGCAGCAGUGGGGAAUAUUGGACAAUGGGCGCAAGCCUGAUCCAGCCAUACCGCGUGGGUGAAGAAGGCCUUCGGGUUGUAAAGCCCUUUUGUUGGGAAAGAAAAGCAGCAGGUUAAUACCCCGCUGUUCUGACGGUACCCAAAGAAUAAGCACCGGCUAACUUCGUG